rnacentral:rRNA from 1 species
GAUGAACGCUGGCGGCGUGCCUAAUACAUGCAAGUCGAGCGAACAGAUGAGGAGCUUGCUCCUCUGACGUUAGCGGCGGACGGGUGAGUAACACGUGGAUAACCUACCUAUAAGACUGGGAUAACUUCGGGAAACCGGAGCUAAUACCGGAUAAUAUAUUGAACCGCAUGGUUCAAUAGUGAAAGACGGUUUUGCUGUCACUUAUAGAUGGAUCCGCGCCGCAUUAGCUAGUUGGUAAGGUAACGGCUUACCAAGGCGACGAUGCGUAGCCGACCUGAGAGGGUGAUCGGCCACACUGGAACUGAGACACGGUCCAGACUCCUACGGGAGGCAGCAGUAGGGAAUCUUCCGCAAUGGGCGAAAGCCUGACGGAGCAACGCCGCGUGAGUGAUGAAGGUCUUCGGAUCGUAAAACUCUGUUAUUAGGGAAGAACAAAUGUGUAAGUAACUAUGCACGUCUUGACGGUACCUAAUCAAAAAGCCACGGCUAACUACGUG